GUAAAAUGACCCAGUCUGGGAAAUAAAUUAAAUCCAGAACACUGAUUUUGACAUAAUAUAUCAUUUAACAAUUGUUAUUCAUUUUCACCGGUUUUACCGUUGAUUCAUACAAGUUGCCGAUAGUUUAAAGAUGUAGAGAUGAAAUUGACAAAAUCCAAGUGUGGCCAAUAAUUAGUGCAAACUUUUACCAACAAAAAGAAGAUAAUAUAGCCACAUCACAUACAUUUCAUUAAUUCUACUUCAUAUCACCAAAAUAAUAUAGAAUAUUAAUUAUACAUCAAUCCUUAAAUCUAGAUACUAAAACUUAUCUCAAUCUAAAACUAAUCUCUAAAUACUAAACCUUAAACCCUAACCACUAAACCCUAAAUCCAAAUAUAAACCAUAAACUCAAAUAUAAACUUAAAUCUAACUCCAACUUUUAAAUACUAAACCCUAAAUGGAUCACUAAACCCAAACUCAAAUGUAAACUAUAUUAUAUAUUUAUAAUUUUAAAAUAAAAUUAAAAUCUGAAAAAUAUAUAUAAUAUUUUGUGAUAUUAAAUUAUACUAUAUAAAGAUGGAAAAUACCAUACUAAACUCUAAAUCCAACCUCUAAUUACUAAACCUUAAAUACUAAUCACUAAACCCUAAAUUCUAAAUACUAAUCACUAAACCCUAAAUGCUAAUCACUAAACCCUAAACCCAAGUAUAGACCCUAAAUCCAGAUAGAAUGGAACAAAAAAUAUAGUAUAGUACAUAAUGGUGAAAGAGAACAAUCUUUAUUAAUCGUCAAAUGGAACGAUACAUGAUAUGGUCACUAAACCCAAAUCUCAACCUCACCUUCCAAAUACUAAACUCUAAAUUUUAAUCACUAAACCCUAAAUGAAUAAACUAACAUUUAGGCUUCAUAUUAUCCGGUUAUAUUCUUCACAUAUGCAAGUUGUUGGUACAAAAGAAGAAAGAAAUGACCCAAAGAAAGAAGAAAGACACAUCACUGAUUAAUAAAGCUAAACCCAAAUUAAGGAAGCAUAAACCAAAAUAGAAUAUAUAUAUAAUAUGGUUUACUAAACCCAAACCUCUACUUACUAAAUCUAAACCCUAUGCAUGAACUUAUAAACUCAAAUACAAUCUAUAAAUUAUUUUCCAAUAUUGGACACUUAAAGGCACAUUUACUUGGAUAGCAUGUUACAUAUCUUCUAUUCCAUAUAGUCUAAGUAGUCACGAAUGUCUCAAAUAAUCAAUUUUUUUCAGUGGUGUAUCCAUAGUAUGGAAUGCAAAUAGUAAACCCUCCCCAUCCGCAAAAAUACAACAAUACAAGAAACACCAUUAAUUAUUAAAGCUAAACCUUAAGGAAGUCUAAACCCAAAUAGUAUACAUAUAAUAUGGUUUACUAUACCCAAACCUCUACUUAGUAAAACUAAACCCUAGGCAGGAACCUAUAAACUCAAAUACAAUCUAUAAAAAAAAAUUCAAUAUUGAACACUUGAAGGCACAUUUUGAAUAUUAAACCCUAAACUGCUAUCACUAAACCUAAACUUUAACCCUACACCUUCCAAAUACUAAACUCUAAACUCUAAUCACUAAAUCCUAAACCCAAGUAUAGACCCUAAACCCAAGUAUAGACCCUAAACCCAAAUAGAAUGAAAUAAAAUAAAUAGUAUAGUACAUAUUGGUGAACAAAAUAGAACACUCUUUAUUAAUCAUCAAAUGAAACGAUACAUGUUCACUAAACCCAAAUCCCAACCCCACCCUUCUAAAUACUAAACCCUAAAUCUUAAUCACUAAACCCUAAACCCAAGUAUAAACCCUAAACUCUAAACCCAAAUCUCAAAAUCUAAUACUAACCUCAAACUCACCCAUAUUACUCUAAAUAUUAAACCCUAAU
rnacentral:lncRNA from 1 species